UACUCACGCGAUUUCAGGUCCAACAAGAACAGUACUAAUAUAGAAAGAAAGAACGAAGAAAUCAAUUAGUGCAUUUGGUUCGGAUCAGAUUUCUUUUUUUGCUCUCUGUCUUUCCGUUAGGCUGCUCACAUUUUCUUUCUCCUUAUUAUCUUGAAUAAAA
rnacentral:ribozyme from 14 species